ACGAACGCUGGCGGCGUGCUUAACACAUGCCAGUCGAACGGAAAGGCCCUGCUUUUGUGGGGUGCUCGAGUGGCGAACGGGUGAGUAACACGUGAGUAACCUGCCCUUGACUUUGGGAUAACUUCAGGAAACUGGGGCUAAUACCGGAUAGGAGCUCCUGCUGCAUGGUGGGGGUUGGAAAGUUUCGGCGGUUGGGGAUGGACUCGCGGCUUAUCAGCUUGUUGGUGGGGUAGUGGCUUACCAAGGCUUUGACGGGUAGCCGGCCUGAGAGGGUGACCGGCCACAUUGGGACUGAGAUACGGCCCAGACUCCUACGGGAGGCAGCAGUGGGGAAUAUUGCACAAUGGGCGGAAGCCUGAUGCAGCAACGCCGCGUGCGGGAUGACGGCCUUCGGGUUGUAAACCGCUUUCGCCUGUGACGAAGCGUGAGUGACGGUAGUGGGUAAAGAAGCACCGGCUAACUACGUG
rnacentral:rRNA from 1 species